rnacentral:snRNA from 1 species
AGAUGUGAGUGCAGGAUGUGCUGGCUGUGACAUCUGUCACCCCAUUGCUCUCCAGGGCCCAUGCAGCUGACCUGGCUGGCUGGGCAGGUGUCCCUCCUCCCUCGUCACACCAUGCACAUUCCUCCCAAACCUGCACACUUGGUCAAAGAGGACGAUCCCUCGUACAGGAGGACCCUUCUUGGUCACGGGCAGAGGACUAGCCAUGCUCCCCUGCCCGGACCUCCAACAGGCGUGUUCCUGCUCAUUGCUCCUGUCAUUUGAUGCAUCACUCCCAAGUUCUCAGGCCAAAGAUUUCCAGGAGGGCUACUUUCACCCUAAGUGUCCCCAUUU